GGCGAACGCUGGCGGCGUGCUUAACACAUGCAAGUCGAACGGAAAGGCCCUGCUUUUGUGGGGUGCUCGAGUGGCGAACGGGUGAGUAACACGUGAGUAACCUGCCCUUGACUUUGGGAUAACUUCAGGAAACUGGGGCUAAUACCGGAUAGGAGCUCCUGCUGCAUGGUGGGGGUUGGAACGUUUCGGCGGUUGGGGAUGGACUCGCGGCUUAUCAGCUUGUUGGUGGGGUAGUGGCUUACCAAGGCUUUGACGGGUAGCCGGCCUGAGAGGGUGACCGGCCACAUUGGGACUGAGAUACGGACCAGACUCCUACGGGAGGCAGCAGUGGGGAAUAUUGCACAAUGGGCGGAAGCGUGAUGCAGCAACGCCGCGUGCGGGAUGACGGCCUUCGGGUUGUAAACCGCUUCCGCCUGUGACGAAGCGUGAGUGACGGUAAUGGGUAAAGAAGCACCGGCUAACUACGUG
rnacentral:rRNA from 1 species